rnacentral:tRNA from 1 species
GCCGAUAUAGUUCAACGGUAGAACUGCGGUUUCGUAAACCGUCAAUGGUAGUUCGACUCUACCUAUCGGCUC